ACAAUCUUAAAACUACGUCAUUCAAUAAGCAUCUCCCUAAAAUGGCAAUGUAACAAGAAAAUUAAAAGAAAUUCAUUGACACGUCAUAAAUUGCGUAGUUUCUGCUUGUGGAAGCUUAAGGCAAAAACACAUCGUAUACAGCCUCUACAAACAAUGGGAAAAAGACAAAAGCCUGUACAAUUUAUAUAUGUUGCUGAUAGGUAUUCACAGUUCAUGGCAAUAGAAGAAAAUAUGCAUGUUGACAUGGCUAUACAACCUGUCCAGAAAUUAAUUAUACAAAGAGUUCAUCAAAGAAGCUAAGAAUAUCACCAAUGGAAGCCAAACAGAACUCCAGAACGAAUGAACAACAAUUUUUCUUGCAACCCCAUUUACACUAUUCUCUCCCAAAUUCGUUCUUGAUCUCUGAUGCAGAAUCCUCAAAGUAGAACACCCACAUUAUUAUUAGCAUGUAAAAUCAUCUCCCAAUUCAACCAUCAAUGCAUUUAAAUCCCCUACAAACCCACAACCAAAUCCCAAACAAAGCAGCACAAAUAACCAAAUCCAAUAUCAAAAUGACCCAAACGUGCUUCCUCCAAAUUUGCUUGACCUUUUGCUUGUUAUCACCCAAAUAAUACCCACCAUUCUUGUGGGACAUCGAAACUGAAAACUCCCUAUUCACCACAAUAUUUCCAUUCUCAUACACGUGAUUCACCUUACUAUCCAUCAUAGCACCACCACCAUCCUUAAAAUUAUGAUGAUCCCCAUUUGCCUCUCCUCGUCCAUCACUAGCACCACCGGCACCAGCACCAGCACAACAUAAUGGUCUCUUCUUCUUCUUCAUCAUCAUUUUAGUCGGCUUCGAAUGCAAGGGUCUCACUACCGUCUUCUUUCCCUUCGUAGAAUCCACACUUGGAUUCCUAAAAUCCUUUGGUACCUCCAAUAAAGAAUCCACCAAGUCUACAUCCAAUGAAAGUAUCUCGCGAAAAAUAGGAUAGAAUUGGCCUUGAAAACAAAGGGAAGUGAGCUUAGCAAAAUCUUUGAUUGGAUUGGACGCAAUAAACUCCUCGAAAGCGACCUUUACACGGUCCAAGAACCACAUAGACUCAGAUUUCUCCAGAUCUUCAUCGAAAAUGGCGAAAUAGGCAAAAGGUUCAUGGAUUAAAAAGGCAUAGGUCUUCUUGCGAAUGGUAUGGGAGAAGAUGGAGUGGUGAGGAGGGGUCUUCUCUAUGCAUUGCUUAGCUACAACUUCGAUUCCCGGCUCUUUGGACAACGACAACUCGGAAAGGAUUGUGGAUCCUUUUGCAAUGCAAGCAUAGAAGACGAGAUGUGGAUUCGAAAUCAUUUCCUUUUCCUUUGGUAUAAAUCAAGGAAAAGCAAAAUUUUCGAGAGAAAAUGGAUACUGAAAUGGAGAAAAAAAAAAUUGCAUUGCAAGUACGAUAAAUUUUCUCUCUUUUCUUAUUGAUUCAAUUGAUUUUUCUCUGAAAUUUGAAAAGGAUUUAAAUUCUUAUUGGUUUCUCUCUCUUCCUCUCUUUGAAGCUCUGCAAUUUUGUCUAUCUUUCUAGGGUUUGGGAAUGGAAGAGAGAUGAACAGAAUGAGAAUUCUUUGGAAGGCAGAAGAAAACAGAAUAACGGCGGCCUCUGUAACAUUAAUUAACCCUUCUUUUUCCUUCUAAUUACGGAUGUGCCUUGUUUGCUUUAUUUAUUUUUUACU
rnacentral:misc_RNA from 1 species